GACAGAGGUGCCGAGCGUUAGGCGGAAUCACUGGGCUUAAAGCGUGUGUAGGCGGAUCCGUAAGUACCUUGUGAAAUCCCACGGCUCAACCGUGGAACUGCUUGGUAUACUGCGGGUCUUGAGCCACCUAGGGGCGAGCGGAGCAAGUGGUGGAGCGGUGAAAUGCGUAGAUAUCACUUGGAACGCCAAUGGUGAAAACAGCUCGCUGGGGGUGUGCUGACGCUGAGACACGAAAGCCAGGGGAGCAAACGGG
rnacentral:rRNA from 1 species